AGCAGAGGUGUGACCAAGUCACUGUGUUGCAAGUCUCAAGUAAGUCUCAAGUCUCUGUCCUCAAGUCAAGUCAAGAACCUUUAAUUUCAAGUCAUUUCGAGUCAUUUUUAUUAUUUUUUUUUUUUUAUAAUUUGCAAUUAUACAUAAAAUUCAAAUAGACCAUUUGUUCUUUUUAAAAUAUGUAUUUAUCUCAAAUGAUAGAACAUGUGUAGCUGAACACAAAGUAUAAAAAACAUUUUUAAAGUGGACCACUUUAUUGUGCAGUUCUGUUAAACUUGAUAUUCAAUAAAAAAAGACAAAAAUGCUGACAUUUCCACAGCACAAUACAAAGAACCAUAACAGCAGUUUUUUCCUCUUUUCUCUGACAUGGUCACUGAGUGAACAUGUAUUUUUAUGUAUCCAUGUUUGAGUGACAUAGGAAACAAAACAUAUCAACUGAACAAUUAACAGAAAUCUACAAUUGAGGAUACUGUAUUUCAGUUGGCUAUGCUGCAUUGCAUUUGCAAAAGACCAAACUGGCCAAAAGUCUGUCUGUCAUUUGUGCACGAUGAGGACAUAAUUUUUUUUUUUUUUUUUCCCAGCAAAGCUUUACUACUUGGAAAUGGGUUCUGUGCGACAUGUGACAGUCACGCCUGUCAGUGCAUUAAGUCAAAAACAGUUGACUUAAUGCACUGACUGCAGUAAACAAUAUAUUGUCAAUAUAAUUUCCCAACGUAGAUGUCUUCAAAUACACCAACCAUCCUUAGAUGAUACUAGACCCUGCUCAUCAUCAUGAUGGGACAGAGAGACUGUUCCCUGAGUUCAGGUCCAGAAUCUGCUUUCUGUUCCGGAGCCCCGCUCACUAUCCACCGGCUUCCUGAGCUAACACGGUGCACAUUAUUUGUGGACCGGAUUUAUGGUAAAUCAUCACCAAUUUAACCCGGAGUACACAUGCUAACACGAAGUUAGCUAAAGUCAACUAUCUUACAGCAAAAGAAAAGUGCCACCUACCGAUCUUUGUGAAGCUUCAAAUGCCGGACAAAGUUGGACGUCGUGGCAUCUCCAUCCGAUAUUCUCUUCUUGCAUGUUUUACAAGUUGCAGUUCGUUUUUUAUUCGAAAGUUCAUAACCUACGUAGCCAAAAGAAAUUACUCGCGGAAGCAUAUUCGAGCGGUUAUUUCGUCUUUCAUUCCCUGAGCUCUGUAGCGUCGCCGCGUUUUUUUUUAAACGUCAAAAUCCUGUUAAUUUGAUUGGUUGUGCUGCAGCUACGUACACAUACAUACAUAAGGAGAGAGGCAAAACACUGACGGUCUGCGCAUAUUGAUACGGAAUGAGUGAAAGUAAUUAAUGACGCCACUUUAUAAAUAAUGUGUUUUAAAUUUUAAGACUUUGAGUAAAAAAUAUCAAGUCUUUUCAAGUAAACAGCUUCAAGUCGAGUCAAGUCCCAAGUCAAUGGCAUGAAAGUCAAAGUCAAGUCCGAGUCUUUGAGCAUUUUUUCAAGUCUAGUCUCAAGUCGUGAUUUUAACGACUCGAGUCUGACUC